rnacentral:rRNA from 1 species
GCGGCCUAUCAGCUUGUUGGUGAGGUAAUGGCUCACCAAGGCGACGACGGGUAUCCGGCCUGAGAGGGCGACCGGACACACUGGGACUGAGACACGGCCCAGACUCCUACGGGAGGCAGCAGUGGGGAAUAUUGGGCAAUGGACGAAGGUCUGACCCAGCGACGCCGCGUGAGGGAUGAAGGCCUUCGGGUUGUAAACCUCUUUCAGUAGGGAAGAAGCGAAAGUGACGGUACCUAAAGAAGAAGCACCGGCUAACUAUGUGCCAGCAGCCGCGGUAAUACAUAGGGUGCAAGCGUUGUCCGGAAUUAUUGGGCGUAAAGAGCUCGUAGGUGGUUUGUUGCGUCGGGUGUGAAAUUCAGGGGCUCAACCCCUGACCUGCACUCGAUACGGGCAGACUAGAGUUUGGUAGGGGAGACUGGAAUUCCU